UAAGAAGUGUGAUGGUGUGUUUGGCUGAAUGCUUUGUGUGCUUUCUUCUCUGGCUUGGUUCCCACUGGACGGAUGGCACCAGCUCGUGAGUGACGUUCUCGAGACCCCUUUUGGUGGCAACUUUGGACAGAAAUAAGGUGGCGAUGGGGUGCUGAGAAAAGUGCACGCGGGACCGCGGAGGUUAAUCGGCCUUUAUACGUACGUGAUCGGCAGUGGAAGCGUUUACUGUACCCGGCUGCCUUUCAGAGAAGUAGGAGUUCCCCUUCCGACAAAGUGCGCAGGUCCCUGAAGUUUUCAACUUGAACACAGUCACUGCUGGAAGAGAAAGCUCAUGGGAGGCACUCAUGUAGGAGGUGUGCCGUGGUCAUGGCCUUCUUCCACACGUGUCUGGGCUGCAUGCAAAGUACCAAUCAUUUACUCAAAAAGAAAUGAGCGAGGGCAAAACUCUGUGUGUCUGAAUCAUCUGUGUAUACUUACUGGCCUUCCCUUCUGCUAAUCCAGCCAUAUUUUCAAGUAAAACUUUCGUUUUUUGAAAUGUAAUAUUGGAAAAUGAAAACCAAGGAUUUAAAAAAAAAAAAAAAAAAAACUGUCCCAAAAAUGCUUUAAAAAAAAGGUGCACAAAUGAUGGGACUGCGGUUAUCGUACUUUGGACACAUCAUGUGAAGAACAGAUUUUCUCAACUAGAAAGCCAAUCUUCUGCGAUAGCUAAGGGAAAAAGAAGAGCAGGACUGGCGACCAGACGGAGGGACUCGAUCGAAGCGAUAAUGGACGCGCUAGGGACAGAGGAUU